rnacentral:lncRNA from 1 species
CAAAAGUCAAGACUAGCAAGUGUGAUAUAACAGUCUUGUGUUUUUGGAAGGCAGAAAUGUCUGCAGAAACAUCAUUUAGAUCCAGCUAAGGUGUAUCCUCACCAGCAGGGGAGUGCCCUCUAACAUUUCUGUAAUAAGCGUUGAUUCUUGCAGAGUAUGAUGGCAGACCAAAAGAGGAUCCUGACUCAUCGUCUCUCCCAGCAUUGUAUUUCCUAUUGCUAAUGCUGAAGAUGGACAAAUGGACCAGCAGUUCGACCCAAUGAGGUAGGAAUGGAUGAGAGAGACAUUUCACCAAAUCUGAAACUCCAGGACAGUGAAGCCAAACCUGGGGUUAGCAAUAAUGGCAUCCCCAUCACCACUGCAGAGCCGUAAAGGCCUCAUGGAGGGAAGGCAUCAUUGCAAAUACAGAUAUAUAAAUCCCGCAGCUUGAGGAAAGUUAAUAUUUUCACAGACACGUCCUUUAUGUUUUACAGAAGUGGUUAUUCAAAAUGUUCAUACGUUUCAAAUGUAUGUGGAGGACUACAAAGAGGACUACAGCAGAGGACUACAAAGAUGAUGAGGGGACUGAAGCUUGUCUCCUAUGAAGCAAGGCUGAGAGAGCUGGGCCUGUUUAGCUUGGAGAAGAGAAGUCUGAGAGGCAAUCUCAUCAACGUGUACAAGGAUCUGAAGGGAGGGUGUCGAGAGGAUGGGUCCAGACUCUUCUCCGUGGUGCCCAGUGACAGGACAAGAGGCAACGGGCACAAAUUGAAACAUAGGCAUGUCAGUCUGAACCUGAGGAAAAACUUCUUUGCUGUGAG